rnacentral:rRNA from 1 species
UACGUAUGGGGCAAGCGUUAUCCGGAUUUACUGGGUGUAAAGGGAGCGUAGACGGCUGAUCAAGUCAGAAGUGAAAACCCAGGGCUCAACCUUGGGACUGCUUUUGAAACUGAGUAGCUAGAGUGCAGGAGAGGUAAGCGGAAUUCCUAGUGUAGCGGUGAAAUGCGUAGAUAUUAGGAGGAACACCAGUGGCGAAGGCGGCUUACUGGACUGUAACUGACGUUGAGGCUCGAAAGCGUGGGGAGCAAACAGG